GGGGUUSUUAACUGAACUUCCAGUAAACGAAAGCUUAACGCGGUGAAAGUGCCUGGGGAGUACGGCCGCCAAGGUUGAAACUNCAAAGGAAUUGAACGGGGACCCGCACAAGCGGUGGAUGAUGUGGUUUAAUUCGAUGCAACGCGAAAAACCUUACCCACCUUUGACAUGGCAGGAAGUUUCCAGAGAUGGAUUCGUGCUCGAAAGAGAACCUGCACACAGGUGCUGCAUGGCUGUCGUCAGCUCGUGUCGUGAGAUGUUGGGUUAAGUCCCGCAACGAGCGCAACCCUUGCCAUUAGUUGCUACGAAAGGGCACUCUAAUGGGACUGCCGGUGACAAACCGGAGGAAGGUGGGGAUGACGUCAAGUCCUCAUGGCCCUUAUAGGUGGGGCUACACACGUCAUACAAUGGCUGGUACAGAGGGUUGCCAACCCGCGAGGGGGAGCUAAUCCCAUAAAGCCAGUCGUAGUCCGGAUCGCAGUCUGCAACUCGACUGCGUGAAGUCGGAAUCGCUAGUAAUCGCGGAUCAGAAUGUCGCGGUGAAUACGUUCCCGGGUCUUGUACACACCGCCCGUCACACCAUGGGAGCGGGUUCUGCCAGAAGUAGUUAGCCUAACCGCAAGGAGGGCGAUUACCACGGCAGGUUCGUG
rnacentral:rRNA from 1 species